UCCGGAUCAAUGAUGCAACCAUAAUCUGCGUUAUCUUUCUGUAACUCCUUUGGAGGAUUUGAAGAUGAUACUUAUCUACUGAGAUCUGGU